rnacentral:rRNA from 1 species
GACGAACGCUGGCGGCGUGCCUAAUACAUGCAAGUCGAACGCAGUGGGGACGGGUGAGUAACACGUGGGUAACCUCCCGUCAGAGGGGAUAACACUUGGCAACAGGUGCUAAACCGAUACUGAUGGAGCGACCCGUGGGGCAUUAGCUAGUUGGUGAGGUAACGGCUCACCAAGGCCAAGAUGCAUAGCCGACCGGAGAGGGUGACCGGCCACACUGGGACGGAGAAACGGUCCAGACUCCUACGGGAGGCAGCAGUAGGGAAUAUUACGCAAUGGACGAAAGCCUGACCGAGCAAUGCCGCGUGAGUGAAGAAGGUCUUCGGAUUGUAAAACUCUGUCGGUAGAGAAGCGGUACCUAACGAGAAAGCAACGGCUAACUCCGUGCCAGCAGCCGCGGUAAUUC